rnacentral:tRNA from 1 species
GCGGGUGUAGCUCAGUUGGUAGAGCACUAGCUUCCCAAGCUAGGUGUCGCGGGUUCGAAUCCCGUCUCCCGCU